rnacentral:pre_miRNA from 1 species
AAUGAGAUAGCUAGGUCAAAUGGUGAUUCCAUUUCUAGUUUUCUGAGGAAUCUCUAUACUGCUUUCCAGAAUGGUCUUACCAAUUUGCAGUCCCACCAGCAAU